AGUGAAUAUUUAACGGCCGCAGUACCCUAACUGUGCAAAGGUAGCAUAAUCAUUUGUCUAUUAAUUGUAGACCGGCAUGAAUGGUAAAAUGAGGGUCUAACUGUCUCUUAUAGUAAAUCAAUUAAACUGAUCUCCUAGUAAAAAAGCUAGAAUAAUAACAUAAGACCAGAAGACCCUGUGAAGCUUAAACUAAACCAUUAAACCAAAUAACGGUUACUUUCGGUUGGGGCGACCCUGGAAAAAAAAAGAACUUCCAAUCUAUGUACCACUCAACAGGCCCACAAGCCGCACACUUGACCCAGCACAGCUGAUAAUCGAACCAAGUUACUCCAGGGAUAACAGCGCCAUCUUCUUCAAGAGCCCAUAUCAAAAAGAAGGUUUACGACCUCGAUGUUGGAU
rnacentral:rRNA from 1 species